AGCCUUGUGGCCUAAAGGGUAAGGCAUCUAACUUUGGCUCAGAAGAUUGCAGGUUCGAGUCCUGCUGGGGUUG
rnacentral:tRNA from 1 species